rnacentral:lncRNA from 1 species
GGAUAAAAGGAAGGGCCAGGCCAAUUGAAUAUUCAGAAGCUCCAUUAUGUCUUCUUUCCAACGCAUCAAGAAUUUCUAAUUUCGGAGAUCCGUACAAGGAGUUAUGAUAGAAUCUUGCAAUGUUGCGCGUUCUGAAAUCAGCUUGGGACAAAACAUAGUGCCAGAGUAAAACGGGCAUAAUUCUUUCAUCUAGAAUCCAUUUUAGGUAAAUGACCACUUGAUGGAAAUGGAAUUUGAUUCACUUUGUAAUGGAGUAUAAGUUUGUUACAUGUUCU